rnacentral:rRNA from 1 species
AAAACACGUACCAGCUCCGCGAGUGGUCGGGACGAUUAUUGGGCCUAAAGCGUCCGUAGCCGGCCUAGCAAGUCUCUGGUUAAACUUCAAGGCUUAACCUUGAGAUUGCUGGAGAUACUGCUAGGCUAGGGGGCGGGAGAGGUUGAGGGUACUUCACGGGUAGGGGCGAAAUCCUAUAAUCCGUGAAGGACCACCAGUGGCGAAGGCGCUCAACUGGAACGCGCCCGACGGUGAGGGACGAAAGCCAGGGGAGCAAAGGGGAUUAGAUACCCCCGUAGUCCUGGCUGUAAACGAGGCGGGCUAGGUGUUGGGUUGGCUUCGUGCCAACCCGGUGCCGCAGUGAAGGCGAUAAGCCCGCCGCCUGGGAAGUACGGCUGCAAGGCUGAAACUUAAAGGAAUUGGCGGGGGAGCACCACAAGGGGUGAAGCCUGCGGCUUAAUUGGAGUCAACGCCGGGAAUCUUACCGGGAGCGACAGUAGUAUGAAGGCCAAGCUGACGACUUUGCUAGACAGACU